GUCGAAGUGGCGGAACGGCAGACGCGCUAGGUUGAGGGCCUAGUGAGGGCAACCUCGUGAGGGUUCAAAUCCCUCCUUCGACACCA
rnacentral:tRNA from 3 species